UAUUAUAUCAAAAAAAUUAACAUCAUUAUAUAACAUAUAGAGUUUAAAAAAUCUCAAAACAAUUUCGUCCUAUUUUGUGAUUCGAAAUUUUAAGAAUGAACAUAUAUUAACCAAUAGGCGAAAAAUGUGUGGGUUCAAUGUCCCGUAACGACUAAAAUAUUUUGACAAUGAUUCAUAAAGAUAUUAUAAAUAAGAUCAAUAUUAAUAAAAUAAAUAGUUUUUAUUGUAGACGGGUUUGGCAGGACGUUACUUAGUAACAAUUGCAAACUAUAAAAUAAUUUACAAAUUUUUAUAUAUAUUAAUUGUUAAAAAUGAGUUGUCGGGUUAAAAUCUAGUUAUAGACCGAAUUUCUUGAGCAGUUUUCAU
rnacentral:sRNA from 1 species